rnacentral:rRNA from 1 species
UCGUAGGGUGCGAGCGUUAAUCGGAAUUACUGGGCGUAAAGCGUGCGCAGGCGGCUCUGUAAGACAGAUGUGAAAUCCCCGGGCUCAACCUGGGAACUGCCUUUGUGACUGCAGGGCUGGAGUGCGUCAGAGGGAGGUGGAAUUCCACGUGUAGCAGUGAAAUGCGUAGAGAUGCGGAGGAACACCGAUGGCGAAGGCAGCCUCCUGGGAUGGCAUUGACGCUCAUGCACGAAAGCGUGGGGAGCAAACAG